AACGAACGCUGGCGGCAUGCCUAACACAUGCAAGUCGAACGAACCCUUCGGGGUUAGUGGCGCACGGGUGCGUAACGCGUGGGAAUCUGCCCUUUGCUUCGGAAUAACAGCUAGAGAUGACUGCUAAUACCGGAUGAUGUCUUCGGACCAAGGAUUUAUCGGGAAGGGAUGAGCCCGCGUAGGAUUAGGUAGUUGGUGGGGUAAAGGCCUACCAAGCCGACGAUCCUCAGCUGGUCUUAGAGGAUGAUCAGCCACACUGGGACGGGGACACGGUCCAGACUCUUACGGGAGGCAGCAGUGGGGAAUAGUGGACAAUGGGCGGAAGCCUGAUCCAGCAAUGCCGCGUGAGUGAUGAAGGCCUUCGGGUCGUAAAGCUCUUUUACCAGGGAUGAUAAUGACAGUACCUGGAGAAUAAGCUCCGGCUAACUCCGUGCCAGCCGCCGCGGUAACAC
rnacentral:rRNA from 1 species